AGAGGGUACUCCAUUAAUUUUAGGACUUCUUUUGUAGGAUCAUUCAUGGUCUUCAUCGACUUGACCUUUAGCAGCUCUCUAGUUCAGUUCAAGAUCAAUUUGGUCAUCAAGAUCAAUCUGGUCAUCUCUCCUUCGAAGCCUUACAGUAAUAGAUUGACACUAGAAAAAAAGGGCUUGUCCAAAAAAUUUUGUGAAAAAU
rnacentral:lncRNA from 1 species